GUGUCAGCAGCCGCGGUAAUACGGAGGGGGCGAGCGUUAUUCGGAAUUAUUGGGCAUAAAGGGCACGUAGACGGCUUGAUAAGUCAAAGGUGAAAUCCCUCGGCUCAACUGAGGAACUGCCUUUGAAACUGUCUGGCUUGAGGCCGGGAGGGGGUAGCGGAAUUCCCAGUGUAGCGGUGAAAUGCGUAGAUAUUGGGAGGAACACCGGUGGCGAAGGCAGCUACCUGGACCGGUUCUGACGCUGAUGCGCGAAAGCGUGAGUAGCAAACAGGAUUAGAUACCCUGGUAGUCC
rnacentral:rRNA from 1 species